rnacentral:rRNA from 1 species
UACGGGGGGGGCAAGCGUUGUUCGGAAUUACUGGGCGUAAAGGGCGCGUAGGCGGCCCUCUAAGUCAGACGUGAAAUCCCUCGGCUCAACCGGGGAACUGCGUCUGAUACUGGAGGGCUUGAAUCCGGGAGAGGGAUGUGGAAUUCCAGGUGUAGCGGUGAAAUGCGUAGAUAUCUGGAGGAAUACCGGUGGCGAAGGCGGCAUCCUGGACCGGCAUUGACGCUGAAGCGCGAAAGCUAGGGGAGCAAACGGG